rnacentral:ncRNA from 1 species
NNNGUGGGGAGGUAUUGUCUUCUGACGAUUUUCCAUGAUUUGGNUGUAGAUAACCCUUAGAGUAGCCAUUGGAGGAAAAGUCUGGUGCCAGCACCCGCGGUAAUUCCAGCUCCAAGAGCGUAUAUUAAUACUGCUGUAGUUAAAACGCCCGUAGUAUACCUAAGAGUGGGUGUGUAGUAAUUAGUUUUACCAGAGGACGGUUGGCGAGAGUUUAUCACUCUUGUUUGCCUACUUUUGGUAGACUUUAGUCGGGCUGGAUCUUUGGUCCUCGUCUGACAGUUGCUACGUACUUACUUACCACGGUUCAUCCGUGAGGCCCUUGGCUUGCAACUGUAAAUAAAUCGUUGUGCUUAAAGCGGGCUAUGAUACUCUGCCAGAGCGAUUUAGCAUGGGACUGCAGAGUAGCUGUAUUUGAGCGAAGGUUGCACCUCGGUGUGGCUGGAGCUUGGUACAGCGCUUGUAAUGGAGCUCAGGGUGAGGCCCCGGGUACCAUGAGGCUAGAGGUGAAAUUCUGAGACCCUCAUGUGACCAACUAAGGCGAAAGCUGUCGUGGGCCACCACAAGCUCGUCUAUCAGGGACGAAAGUUGGGGGAUCGAAGACGAUUAGAUACCGUCGUAGUCCCAACUAUAAACGAUACCAACCGAGUAUUUGGGAAGACACUAUCCCAGCGAUCUUCUCAGAACUCAAGGGAAACCUUAAGUCUUUGGGUUCUGGGGGGAGUAUAGUCGCAAGACCGAAACUUAAAGGAAUUGACGGAAAGGCACCACCAGGAGUGGAGUCUGCGGCUUAAUUCGACUCAACACGGGGAAACUCACCAGGUCAGGACACAAGUUUGAUUGACAGGUUAAUAGCCCUUUCUUGAUUGUGUGGUGGGUAGUGCAUGNCCGUUUCCAGUUCGUGGAGUGAUCUGUCUUGUUAAUUCAGAUAACGAACGAGACCUAAGCCUUUAACUAGCCGUAGGCCUUUUCCUUCGGGGAAGGGUUAGUUUGUCGGAACAGGUUUCGGCCUGUUCCAAAACCUACGAGACUUUUGUCAGCUUCUUAAAGGGACUUCAUUCGUAAACUAGGAUGAGGAAGAUUUAGGCCAUAACAGGUCUGUGAUGCUCUUAGAUGUCCUGGGCUGCACGCGUACUACAAUAACGGUACCAGCGAGCGCUAUGGUUUUAUAACCCCUUAUCCUAAUAGGAUUGGGAAAACUUUUCAAACACCGUUAUGACAGGGAUCGAGGAUUGGAACAUCCUCGUGAACGAGGAAUUCCUAGUAAGCGUGGUUCAUCAUACCACAUUGAUUACGUCCCUGCCUUUUGUACACACCGCCCGUCGCUCCUACCGAUGGGACGAAGAGAUGAACCUGGCGGACCGAACCGCAAGGUAAGGGAAACCAGUUAAAUCUCUUCGUCUGUAGGAAGGAAAAGUCGUAACAAGGUCUUCGUAGGUGAACCUGCGUAGGGAUCAUUU